CCUACGGGUGGCAGCAGUGAGGAAUAUUGGUCAAUGGGCGCGAGCCUGAACCAGCCAAGUCGCGUGAGGGAUGACGGCCCUACGGGUUGUAAACCUCUUUUGCCGGGGAGCAACGGGCGCCACGUGUGGCGCCACUGAGAGUACCCGGAGAAAAAGCAUCGGCUAACUCCGUGCCAGCAGCCGCGGUAAUACGGAGGAUGCGAGCGUUAUCCGGAUUUAUUCGGUUUAAAGGGUGCGUAGGCGGAUCGUUAAGUCAGUGGUCAAAUUGAGGGGCUCAACCCCUUCCCGCCAUUGAAACUGGCGCUCUUGAGUGGAAGAGAAGUAUGCGGAAUGCGCGGUGUAGCGGUGAAAUGCUUAGAUAUCGCGCAGAACCCCGAUUGCGAAGGCAGCGUACCGGCUCCACACUGACGCUGAGGCACGAAAGCGUGGGUAUCGAACAGGAUUAGAUACCCCGGUAGUC
rnacentral:rRNA from 1 species